rnacentral:rRNA from 1 species
CGGCGGACGGGUGAGUAAUGCCUAGGAAUCUGCCUGGUAGUGGGGGACAACGUUUCGAAAGGAACGCUAAUACCGCAUACGUCCUACGGGAGAAAGCAGGGGACCCUCGGGCCUUGCGCUAUCAGAUGAGCCUAGGUCGGAUUAGCUAGUUGGUGAGGUAAUGGCUCACCAAGGCGACGAUCCGUAACUGGUCUGAGAGGAUGAUCAGUCACACUGGAACUGAGACACGGUCCAGACUCCUACGGGAGGCAGCAGCC